rnacentral:rRNA from 1 species
UGAUCCUGCCAGUAGUCAUAUGCUUGUCUCAAAGAUUAAGCCAUGCAUGUCUCAGUAUAAGUGUUUCACUGCGAAACUGCGAAUGGCUCAUUAAAACAGUUAUAGUUUCCAUGUCAGUUGUUUAUUACCUGGAUAUCCACGGUAAUUCUAGAGCUAAUACAUGCGUCCAGACCCGACUUUUGCGGAAGGGUUGUGCUUAUUAGACACUGAACCAUCCCGGCUUGCUGCAUUCCGUGUGCGGUUGAGCGACUGACCUAUCAGCUUGUUUGCAAUGUAUUGGACUGCAAAGGCUUUGACGGGUAACGGAGAAUCAGGGUUCGAUUCCGGAGAGGGAGCCUGAGAAACGGCUGCCAUGUCUAAGGACAGCAGCAGGCGCGCAAAUUGCCCAAUACUAACGUAUGAGCGAGGCAGCGACGAGAAGUAUUUACCUUGUGAUACUUUGUAUCACGAGGAUAGAAAUGGGUGAUAUCUAAAGCCAUCACUGAGGAUCGAUUGGAGGGCAAGUC